rnacentral:misc_RNA from 1 species
AAGUUCUCAACCACAUCAAUUCUUUGGUGAGGCUUGGACGUGGGGGGAUUUUUGUGGGCUUCUGUAAAUUUGAAGUCUGCUCCCCUGAAAUGCAUUAGUGGUAUCUGAGCAGAAGAAACUACUACAGGUGUGAUAAUUAUCUACGCCUUGGUAUGUCUGUAUAAUCAGAUUGCGCUGCUUCUAAUGAGUGGAGAUUCCUUUUAGGAGGACCACAUUUGAUGA